rnacentral:rRNA from 1 species
ACAACAGGGAUGCCUCAGUAACGGCGAGUGAAGCGGCAAUAGCUCAAAUUUGAAAUCUGGCUCUUUCAGGGUCCGAGUUGUAAUUUGUAGAGGAUGCUUCGGGUGUGGCUCCGGUCUAAGUUCCUUGGAACAGGACGUCAUAGAGGGUGAGAAUCCCGUAUGUGACUGGAAGCCUUCGUCCAUGUGAAGCUCCUUCGACGAGUCGAGUUGUUUGGGAAUGCCAGCUCAAAAUGGGUGGUAAAUUUCAUCUAAAGCUAAAUACUGGCCAGAGACCGAUAGCGCACAAGUAGAAGUGAUCGAAAGAUGAAAAGCACUUUGGAAAGAGAGUUAAAAAGUACGUGAAAUUGUUGAAAGGGAAGCGCUUGCAACCAGACUUGCUCGCGGUUGCUCCAGCCGGUGUUCUCACCGGUGCACUCUUCCGCGAUCAGGCCAGCAUCGGUUUGGGCGGCUGGAUAAAGGCUCUGGGAAUGUGGCUCCUCUCGGGGAGUGUUAUAGCCCAGGGUGCAAUGCAGCCCGCCCGGAUCGAGGACCGCGCUUCGGCUAGGAUGCUGGCGUAAUGGUUGUAAGCGACCCGUCUUGAAACACGGACCAAGGAGUCUAACAUCUAUGCGAGUGUUUGGGUGUCAAACCCAUGCGCGUAAUGAAAGUGAACGGAGGUGAGAACCCUUAAGGGUGCAUCAUCGACCGAUCCUGAUGUCUUCGGAUGGAUUUGAGUAAGAGCAUAGCUGUUGGGGACCCGAAAGAUGGUGAACUAUGCCUGAAUAGGGUGAAGCCAGAGGAAACUCUGGUGGAGGCUCGCAGCGGUUCUGACGUGCAAAUCGAUCGUCAAAUUUGGGUAUAGGGGGCGAAAGACUAAUCGAACCCAUUACAAAGCUUCAUGCUACUAGGUGGUCAAGAGGGCCGCUGAAAGGGCGAGCCUAGUCCUGCUCUCCAGGGCGACAUUGUCAAAUUGCGGGGACGUCCUAAAGACACUACUACCAAGCAGGCGUGGAAACACAGUCUGUGGCCGGGGUAAUGACCUAGGGUAUGGUAACAACGUAGUGUAUGACCCUGCUCGUAGGGGAAGUGGAUAUCCGCAGCCAACUCCUAACUCUCGAGGAAGAUAUGGAUGCUGCUCACAGACUAAAUGGCAAUGGGCUCACCUCUUAGAGGUGGGCUUAAGAUAUAGUCGGGCCGCCCAGAGAUGGCUCUGGUAGAGGAACUCUCUAAGACGUAGAGGCAUUGGUUGACAAUGCGUCUUAGAGACCCGAGCCUACUGGGAGCUGACGAAAAUCGGCUGUGUCGCUCCCCCCCC